AUUCGCACGGAGCCGGCUCGGCCAACACCAACCACCACCACGCCAAACUUCCUCUCGGGCUGAAACACAAGGGACCAAGGUGGAGUCUGAAAACACUGUACGCAUCGAGCAGAAAACUACAAAACAAAGGAGCUGGCAGGGUCCCGACGAGCAAGAUGGAAGCCAGCCCAAAACACACAGGAAGCCACGGCAUCAGGAUGGGAUGAGACAGUCCCCGAAAUGGGGGCUUGGAGAGAAGUCAGUCCCGCCAAAACCUGUUCUUGAAGACCUUGUACUGUUGUUAUACAAUUCAAUAUUGAAGCGAGAGAUUCUCCAGAACUUGCCCAGAAGCCAAGAGGUCUGGAAAGGAUCUCAGCCUCUGUCAGCCUGUAGCUUAGGAAGAGUGAUUCACAGAGCCUGACUGUCCACUGCUGCUAAACCGUACACUGGCCUUGGCUCACACAUCUGACUGAACUGUCUCCUAUGACUAACUGCCUCUCUUUCUUCAGCCUUGGAAGUUUCCUGGGAGUCCUGGGAGUGGACUUCACAUAUAAAAGGGGACUCUGGGAGACCUAGUUCCUGGCUUCUCUUCUGGAAGUCAGGGAAGAGUACAGGAAGGAGUGGCCACAGUGCCCAACUGACAAUUGACAAUUUCACCAACUGAGUUUCUGGAGGACUGCAAUUUAAUAUGUUCAAAGAAUAGUCCAAGAAGCCACUCCGGACCCUCAGCAUUAAGACGAAGGAGGGGGCAAACAGGUGAGAAAAUCGAGGCAACAAGAGGUUGGUUAACGUGCCCAAGAUCAGAUCGCACAGCGGUAUAAUAGGAUGGAAAACUCCUAUCACAUAAUGAACGUUAAGUGAAAAAAAUUAGUAUCCAAAA